GCGGGCGUGGUGAAAUUGGUAGACACGCUAGACUUAGGAUCUAGUGCCGCAAGGUGUGAAGGUUCGAGUCCUUUCGCCCGCA
rnacentral:tRNA from 6 species